rnacentral:rRNA from 1 species
UACAGAGGUCCCAAGCGUUGUUCGGAUUCAUUGGGCGGAAAGGGUGCGUAGGCGGCGCGGUAAGUCGGGUGUGAAAUCUCGGGGCUUAACUCCGAAACUGCAUUCGAUACUGCCGUGCUUGAGGACUGGAGAGGAGACUGGAAUUUACGGUGUAGCGGUGAAAUGCGUAGAUAUCGUAAGGAAGACCAGUGGCGAAGGCGGGUCUCUGGACAGUUCCUGACGCUGAGGCACGAAGGCCAGGUGAGCAAACGGG